AGGCUGAACCAGCAUUUGAAGGAAUGAGGAUAAAUAAAUCUAAAGAUCAAACGUAACGGCUAUCUAUAUUCAAAAUAGAAAAAUGAUAAUGACAAUUUUCUAUUUAUAGUCUUGACCAAAUCACGUGCCAGCAGUCGCGGUAAGACGUGAAAGACAAGUGUUAUUCAUUUUUAUUAGGUUUAAAGGGUACCUAGGCGGCAAAUCUAGCCUAGAUAAGGUACGGAUUUGCUAGAGUUUAAUGUAAGAAGGGAGAAUUGAGGGAGAUAGAGAUGAAAUUCAUUGAUACCUUUAGGACAGAUGAUGGCGCAGGCACCCUUUUAUGUAAAAACUGACGCUGAGGGACGAAGGCAUUGAUAACGAACAGGAUUAGGUACCCCAGUAGUCUUUGCAGACAAUGAUGAAUGCCAUAGGUUGGAUGGUAGUGUAUUAGUAUUAUUAUGCUAUAAGCUACUAUUUAUUCCCAAUGCCAAAAUCCCCGCAUUGGGGGUUAAGGGUAUAGGGAAAAAUAGGAAAUUAAAUUAUAUUAUAUUAAUAUACUAGUGGCCUAUAAAUGAAAGUGUAAGCAUUCCACCUCAAGAGUAAUGUGGCAACGCAGAAACUGAAAUCAUUAGACCGUUUCUGAAACCAGUAGUGAAGUAUGUUAUUUAAUUCGAUGAUCCACGAAAAAUCUUACCACAACUUGAAUAUAGAAAGAGAGAGUUAAUACGUAGUUUAUUACAACUACUAACUCGGACUAAAGAAUAGUAAUAAAAAGUACUAUUUUUUUAAUCACUACUAUACAAGCGUUGCACGGCUGUCUUCAGUUAAUGUCGUGAGAUAUGGUUAGUUCCAGUUAAUUGACGUAAACCCUUAAAUUAUUUAAUUUAUAAAUUUUUCACAGAGAUAAUCAAUAUGAUAAGAGGGACAAAGACAAGUCAUCA
rnacentral:rRNA from 1 species